GCCGCGUGUGUGAAGAAGGCCUUCGGGUUGUAAAGCACUUUUGUCCGGAAAGAAAUCCUCUGGGUUAAUACCUCGGGGGGAUGACGGUACCGGAAGAAUAAGCACCGGCUAACUACGUGCCAGCAGCCGCGGUAAUACGUAGGGUGCAAGCGUUAAUCGGAAUUACUGGGCGUAAAGCGUGCGCAGGCGGUUUUGUAAGACGGAUGUGAAAUCCCCGGGCUUAACCUGGGAACUGCAUUCGUGACUGCAAGGCUAGAGUAUGGCAGAAGGGGGUAGAAUUCCACGUGUAGCAGUGAAAUGCGUAAAGAUGUGGAGGAAUACCGAUGGCGAAGGCAGCCCCCUGGGCCAAUACUGACGCUCAUGCACGAAAGCGUGGGGAGCAAACAGGAUUAAAUACCCUGGUAGUCCACGCCCUAAACGAUGUCAACUAGUUGUUGGGGAUUCAUUUCCUUAGUAACGAAGCUAACGCGUGAAGUUGACCGCCUGGGGAGUACGGUCGCAAGAUUAAAACUCAAAGGAAUUGACGGGGACCCGCACAAGCGGUGGAUGAUGUGGAUUAAUUCGAUGCAACGCGAAAAACCUUACCUACCCUUGACAUGUACGGAAUCCUGCUGA
rnacentral:rRNA from 1 species